CCCAAAGCCCAAAGACAGGUAAAACAGACAAUAAAGCAUGUGGGCAAUCCUUGAAUAAUUGUGUGCCACCAGAGACUUGUUUCAGGAUAACUAACUAGGAUUAUCAACAUACGAGGUUUUUACUCUCUGCAUUUGUAAGUGCCUUACAGGAAUUAGCACAGUGUCUUCUGAAACCUAAAUGUAUGAAAACUGGCUGGCACUGCAGCUUUUGUUCCUGUCAGCAGCAGCAAAAGCAGGAGAGCAUGAAAAAUGUGGUCUCUGAGCAUUUUCAGGCUUCCCCCAGCAUCCACCCUCACCUCUUGUGGUGGGGUAAGAGAGGAUGUGCUGGUGAGACACAGGAGCAAAGGAGUUUGCUACAAAAGCAGGCUGCUAACCCAGAGAUAAAAAUAGUAUCUGUGCUGUAUGUCGUCUAAAGUGAAACUGUUGAGCACCCCUGCAUCAAGAUGUUUAAUUUUAUCUCAGAUGUACAGUAGUCUGUGCCCUCCAAGACACGUAAAUACACCAUGAAAAUGUAUUUAAUUUUGAUGCCACCAGACAGACUUCUCUCCUAAAGGCUGGGUUCCUGGGCUGUGCUGUAAAGAAAAAGAGAGGAAGAAAGGAGAUUUAAAAACCACUUUUUUUUUUAGGACUGCUCUCCUGUGAAACUUUAAGGGAUUAUAAACCACAUCAGUAGCUACUGAAAUCUUUAGUCAUGAGUAUUUUUUACAGAAAAUGUCAGAAAAGCAUCACAGAAUGUGUUAACUGUAACUUGCUUUUACCGCCUGAUCCUGAGCAUACAUGCAAGUGUUAAAAAAUGAGUAUUUUAAAAGAAAACUUGGCAGCAGAACAUCCAGCAUUUUCAGGAGAAAAUGUGCAUUUCUUUUGAUUUGUAUCAAGUGUCAGCAGGGAGGGAUAAUCAGAAAGUGCCAUUACCACUCAAAAUCAUAUCAUACAUAAUUCUGUUAUAAAUAAUUCUCAGCAGAUAUGACUAAUUUAGCACACUUUGGCAUUACCUGUCGGUGCUGGUGGAUAUGCUUGCAGCUGUAAUUUCAGGUCUUUAAUGUUUAUUAUGUUACUGUCUCUUUUGGUAUUAUUAAAUCUUGCCCGAU
rnacentral:lncRNA from 1 species